GUGGGGGUGAGGCGUAUUUGGGGCCGCGGGGAGGUGAACUGAGACAAGGGCGCUGGGAUGUGGGCCCGGGCUCCGGUGGAGGAAGUGUCAUUGGCCCGCACAAGAAUGGGGGGAUCGCGCAAAGGCGGGGGUCGUAGGUGGCGGAGCUGAACCUCCUCAGAAGUAGGACCAUUGAGAAGCGGGGGAGGGCGGCCUCGGUGGUGCGAGACGACCUUGCCAACACCGUGGAGACGCGAAGGGACAAUCUUCCCCAGGCCCCAAGGCUAGAGGUGUUGGGAGACAUCAGGCCCAGAACGUGGAGGAGAGGAGCCUUAGGGUCUGACAGAGGAAGCCAGUAGUCCGAGCUUUCUGCCCAAGGCCCUCUGCUUGGAGAUGCAGGCCCAGGCCCGACUGCGUAGGCGAUGAAAAACUCUGCGGGCGGGGUUCCGAUUCCCGGGAUCUACCCCUGUCUCACUGUACUAGCCUCUGGCCGAGCCAUUCCCGUGUCUGGGUCUCAGUCUGCGCCACAAUAGAGUCAGAUGGAGUGAUCUCGACUGGUCCUUCCUGGUUUGACAAGGACAACUUGAAGGGCUGCUUUCAAAAUACCUAAGAGGAGACUGGCCUCCAGGUCUCCCGUAUGUUAAUCAGAUCUCCUAUCUUCAGACCCAGCCAGUGUUGUCCGUGUGUUCUUUUGUGGCAAAGAAUCUCCUCUUUCACCACACUUACAUCCAUGAAAUAAAGGACCUCAAAUUCAAGUUGGUAGAGGUGAGUAGGCAGAAGACAUAGACACAUUCCAGGAGAAGCGUGAGCACUGGGUUGUAGAAUACCAUGGAAGGAUUCAGAAAAGCAGUUGCCUUUGAGCUGGACCUUGAAAUACGAGCAAAAGUUCACCAGGUGGAGAAGGGAGAAAGACAUUGCAUGUGGAAGAAACUGAAUAAAAGCCCACAAGUGGCCAGAAAGAGACGGAAAGCGACACAGAGAAUCCAUUCCAAACGAGCAGCCAAGAGGAGCCGCGGCAGCUCCCAGAUGUUGAUGUUUUGUUUUUUGACAUAAAUCUUUGCACUCA